rnacentral:rRNA from 1 species
CGCGGCCUCGGCGUCAACUACGGCAGGGUGGCGGACGACAUCCCGGCGCCGCGGCGGUCCGUGCAGCUGCUGCGCGCGGCGGGCGCGGGCUCCGUCAAGAUCUACGACGCCAACCCGGCGGUGCUCCGCGCGCUGGCCGGCACGGGCAUGGCGGUCUCCAUCAUGGUGCCCAACCAGCUCAUCCCGGACCUGGCCGCCUCCUACGCCGCGGCCGACCGCUGGGUCGCCGACAACCUGCUCCCCUACCUCCCGCGGACGCGGGUCAAGUACCUGCUCGUCGGCAACGAGGUGCUCUCCGACGGCUCCAUCGCGGCCUCCACCUGGACCCGCAUCGUGCCGGCCAUGGAGAACCUCCACCGCAGCCUCCGCGCGCGCCGCGUCAGCCGCGUCAAGCUCGGCACCACGCUCGCCAUGGACGCGCUCGUCACGGGCGCCUUCCCGCGCCCGCCCUCCGCCGCGGCGUUCCGCCCCGACAUCGCCGAGUCCGUCCUCCGCCCGCUGCUCCGCUUCCUGGAGGGCACCAACUCCUACUACUUCGUCGACGCCUACACCUACUUCGUCUGGGCCAGCAGCAACGGCACCGUCCCGCUCGACUACGCGCUCCUCCAGCCCGCCGCGCGCGCCCGCUACGUCGACCCCGGCACGGGGCUCACCUACACCAACCUGCUCGACGAAAUGCUCGACGCCGUGGGCGCCGCCAUGUCCAAGCUCGGCCACGGGGGCGUCAGGAUCGCCGUCGCGGAGACCGGCUGGCCCAACGGCGGCGACUACGACCAGGUCGGCGCCAACGUGCGCAACGCCGCCGUCUACAACAGGAACCUGGCGGCGCGGAUGGCCAGGAACCCCGGCACGCCGGCGCGGCCGGGCGCCAGGAUGCCGGUGUUCGUCUUCUCCCUCUACAACGAGAACCUCAAGCCCGGGCCGGGCACCGAGCGCCACUGGGGCCUCUACUACGCCAACGGCACGGCCGUGUACCCGGUCGACCUCACCGGGCGGCGGCCGCUGUGGGCGUACCCGCCGCUGCCGGCGGCGGGGAACGACACGCCGUACAAGGGCCCGAUAUGGUGCGUGCUGGCCGGCCACGCCGGCAGGAAGCUGAACGAGACGGCGGUGGGGGACGCGCUGACGUACGCGUGCGGGCAGGGGAACGGGACCUGCGACGCCAUCCAGCCCGGCGGCGAGUGCUUCCAGCCCAACACCGGCGCGGCGCACGCCAGCUACGCCUUCAACUCCUACUGGCAGCAGUUCAGGAAGACCGGGGCUACGUGCUACUUCAACAACCUCGCAGAGCAGACCAUCAAGGACCCAAGCCACGGAUCCUGCAAGUUCAGCAGUUCACAGGGCUGA